rnacentral:lncRNA from 1 species
UUUUUGCUUAAGACAGACUGAAGGGGCCUUUCCUUGAAUCCAUGCCGAUAUAGUAUUUUCCCCUUCAUGCAAUCACUGCUCAAGGGGAUCUUCAACUCAUGGGAAAUUAGCCUUUAGCCCCUAUUCCUUUGGAGUGGGGUCCAGUGACUGUAGUGAUUUAAUAGAGGGGCAACAGGGGUAGGAUGGGGAAUGGCAAGGGGACUUGGCCAAUUUUGUGCUGGGCUAGUCACCUGCUGACUUAAGACGGGGAAGACAGCACUAUAUCUGGGCACUGGGGAAACUUUGGAUAUUAAAAAAGAAGCAUGAAAUAUAAAUAGAUUAAUUAAUUAACAAAAAUAAGAUAUGACAGAAUUGUUUUAGUACUCUAACCUUUGACCAGUAUUUUCUGUGACACCAUUUCAACCUGCUGCUCCUCUCCAUAUAUGAAACACUUCUAUUGUUAACCUUUAUUCUGCGCAAUGUGGACAGACUUACAGAACUUGGUCCUUCAAUCAGUGGGUCAAAUUUGAGCACCUAACUUGGAAUAAGUAAUUUCUUUGAAGCUAUACAGAUUUUAUUUUAUUUCAUAAUUAUUUUAUUUACUUUGUAUGGCAUGGUGAUGGGAACUCAGCCUGUCUCACAAUAUUGCCAGGCCUUGAAUUGAUGGUGUGUCGACCAUUUCUGGUCAGCAGAUCCAGCAUCCUUAUCCAGCUGCGCCACUGCAUGUCUGGUUAUACAGAUGUAAUUUAUGUAAAAAUAAUCCUUAUUACCCCCAUGGGCAGACUAGCACUCAUGAAAUUAUCUUCUCUCUCCAUCCCAGGUCUCCCACUCUGAAGUUGAAUGCCUGCAUUUUAAGAUUCACAAGCAUUUUGAAGUUGGCUUCAUUCAGCCAGGAUCAGUCAAGGUGUACAGCUACUACAAUCUGGAUGAACAGUGUACCAAGUUCUACCAUCCAGAUAAAGGAACAGGUCUUCUCAAUAAGAUAUGUCAUGGUAACAUUUGCCGAUGUGCAGAAGGUAAGUUGCAAUAAAUAAGUAAAGUUUGCAUCUGAUCACCAAAAUGGAAGGUUUGGGGAAGAGACAGUAUGGAAUCUCUGUCAUAUAAAUUUAAUAAAUUUAUUUAUAAAAUUUAUUGGCCA